GGGGUGGGGGGAGAAAGGGAGGGGGAGGCCAGGGAGCUGGCCCAGACCUUCUUUACCCUGAACUUGAGGGCCACUUACCUAAAGCUGGUCUGCUGUUCUUUGCACACAUUUUCUCUUCAUCUUUCCCAUGAGGCUUGAAGAGAAUUAUCAUCUGCCUUUUGCUAAUCAGUCAGUCAACAGAUAGUAAAUGCUUUUUUGCAUAUGAAGUACCCUCUAGGCACUGGAAUACUAGUGAAUCUUGAAGGCAAAGAAGUUGUCAUGAAUUUUUUCAUCCUCAUGUCACAUGUGUCCUUUCCUUAUAAGGUCUGUCUUCCAUUAGGUUAAUUUGGUUUUUUUUUUCUGUACUCUUUCCAGUUUUUUCCUCCUCCUAAAAAGGGAUUAUCUUUUUUUCUCUGUCCUAAAAGAAUUCCAUCCCUACUGGGCGGGGGCGGGGAGCCAGGCGGAUCUAUUUCCUUAACCUACCUAAUAACUUUACUAGCAAAAAUCACUCUGCCCUGUUCUUCCUUCUCCAGACUGUAGGCCGUUGUAAAUCACUCCUGGUAUAAAAUGGAACCCAGGGCAGGGCCAUCACCACCUAAGCCACACCUCUGGUGGUCUGUCCUGGCCCUGCUGGCUACUGUGUGGUGGUAUGGUCCACUCCACUGAUGGACAGUUAAACUUGACCUUGGCUUUGGGGCAGAGAAGUGCAUCUGCUCCAAAUUUUUUUUUUCCCCCCACCCAUGGCAUUUGAAAGUUCUGGGCCUGGGAUUGAACCUGUACCACAGCAGUGACUCAAGCCACUACAAUGACAAUGCUGGUCCUUAACCCACUGUGCCGCAAGAGAACUCCUUGCUCCAGCUCUAAUAGAAGAGGAUGAGGUUGGGCCAGCAGGGGAGACACCUUUGGAAGGAGAACACUUUCCUAUCCGUCUUCCAUAACUGCCCCCAGCCACUUGUCUCUGACUGUUUGGCAUUUGCAUCUUGAAAAACAUAGCACCACGUGGACUGAGCACCUAACCCUAGUGAGGGUGGAUGUUAGUUGGUGAGUCAGUGGACUGAAGGUUUAGAGAUUUGCUGAGCUUUGCGUUGGCAGGGCUUUUCUGCAGGAGGUGGUAGUAGAAGGUAAGCUGGCCUAAAAGUGUUAGGAUUUGAUGGUUAAUGGGGUUUGCAUCAUUUUAAUCAGUGAGAAAAAUCUAUAUGUUUAUAUUAUCCAGGGUUCACUUAAGAAAACAAAUUGUGCCACCUCACUGGAUCAGUUUAUCUGGAGAGUUCAGUUAUGGGUAAUGUGGAAUAUUUAGUUUCUUUGGGGUGAACCUUCCUUCCUCUUAACUCCCUGAGAAAAGCUCUGCUCUUUAGUAGCAGCAGGCCUUAUCACCUAAGAAACUCCAGCACAACUGUUAUGUGUAAGCAGGCACUGGUUGGUAAGCUGCCCUCAUGGAGUCUGUCCUAUGUCCAUGCGAGACUGUGCACCAUUCUGUCUCCUUCAGAGCUUCCCUUAGUAAAUAAAGGAUUAGUUUCAGCUGGAAAUUGCAAAAAUAUGGCUUAAACAUGAAAGAAGAUUUUCUCCUUUAUGUAAAGAAGGCUUGAGGUGAGAUGGGAAGCCCAGCCAGUGUGCCAGUUCCAUGGUCAUCAGACUUUGGUUCCUUCUGUCUGAAAAGUUAGACGUUCUGGCCGUGUUAGCUGCAGCAUGUGAUCCACUCUGUGGAUUGACAGGUGAGAGUUUGAUGGACCUGACUCCACCGCCUCUCACAUGAGUUCCAUCCUUUAGGUUAUCAGGGGUCAGAUGUGGCUGCUGGAGUUCCAGCUAUCAUAUUUCUGUUUCCAAGAACACAAAAGGGAGGAAGUGGAGAGAGAGACAAAAAAUUGCUCUCCCACGUGAGACAACUUCUUUAAAGGAGUCUUUCUGGAAUGCUCACACACUUCUGCUUAUGUUUCAUUAGCUGGCACUUAGAAAACAUGGUCACAGCUGCUUUAAGGAAGGCUAGGAAAUGAUGGUUUUGUAACAUUGCUGGCCCUAAUAAAACUGGAGUUGUAUUGCUAAAAAAGAAGGCCUUGCUGAGCUCUUUGCUGUAGCUGGUGUGUUUUUCAUAAGUGCUUCCUGCUUUAUGUGAAGCUACUCCUUCCUGCCUAUCUCCCACAGACAUCCAGGAGGCCUGAGCUUACGCAUAAUGUGAUCCUUUCUCCAGAUACUGACUGGCUGUCCUUGUAGUGCUCCUUCCAGCUGAAUAAUAAUCUAGUUGCAGGGGUCUGUUGGCAGCCAGUGGGUGAGAGGGACAUGCAUUUCUGUAGGUGAGUCAGGAGCAGUGGCUUUGUGGGCCUGGGCACACCUGGGAGGUUGCUGUUCUCACAUCUUAGGACCCUCCCAUCUCCUCCCCUCCCUGAACCCCUUUUCCAAGUUGUGAUCUUGAUCUGUGACCCCUCUUGGCUUCACUCACCAUUCCAGGACCUCAGUAGAAUGAGAAGCUGGUGUGUGUCCCUCUCUGGCUACAUCUCCUAGGAGGUCGUGAGUUUACAGAGGACACACUCAGGAGGCUGUCUUCCUGCUUAUUUUCUCCCCCUUUGCACAUACACAUUCACAAAUAGCACUUAAGGGUCCAAAAUUUUGGCUUAUGAUUAAAAAUCUGAAAUUCCUAAAUACUUUGGAUCCAAGUCCUUAGGAAACCUGGAUCCUAUCUUCAGCUCUUUGAGUUAGAGACUCUCAGGUCUUUUUCAGUUUAAAUCCUCAGCAACUCAGUGAUGUCGCCUUGGGGCUUUUCAGGCAAAGAGAUGUAUUUCUACUUCCCACCCCUGGCUGAAGUUGUCCAGGAAAUUGUCCCUCACACAUUGAUGCAUAGCAACAGAUUUGCACUGAACUGUCAAAAGAAAUGUUGCUCUCAGCAGUGGCUUGAGAAAAUCAGGUUGGCAUUUGAGUAUGCCAGUGUUAUUAUGGGAUGGUGGUAGGUGUGAAUAAAUGUGUGAGUGAGUGCAGGAGGCUGUCUUGGCUCUUAGAUUUUAGUCUGUUUUCAGCUGGGAGCCUUUUAGGUGUCAUUCACUUUCCCUGAUGCACACAGCUGAUUCCAGUGCUAGUCUGCCUGCCAAUCCCUGCCUGUACUGAUGUUCACAUCCUUCUCUGAACGGGACACAGGAAGGCUCCCUGUGGAGAGGGCCUGAGUGGGGCUGGGGCAGAGACACCGUGGGUUAGGAUGGUCACUCCCAGUCCAGUGCUUUGAUUCUCUGCCUCUUUUUUCUCCCUCAAACCAGGGGGACUUUGGGAAUGGGGCAGGAGGGAAGAGAUGAUUUUAGCUAAUAGCCACCAUUUACUGAGACCUUACCAUGCACUAGGCAUUCAAAGUGGCUAAAUGCAUUGUCAUUUAAUCCUUAACAAGAAUGCUAUGAUGUGGUUCUUUUUCUUUUUUUUUUUUUUGGCUAUGUCUGUGGCAUACAAAAAUUCCUGGGCCAGGGAUCUAACCUGUGCCAUGGCAGGGAUGCCAGCCACAGCGCUGGGUCCUCAAACUGCUGAGCCACCAGGGAACUCCAACCUGGGUUUUGAAUUUCAGAGAGGUUGAGACUUAAUUAAGUAGCAGAACUAGGAUUUGAAUCCAGUUGUAUUUGACUCACAGCUUGUGCCCUUAACCAUAUCACAUAUCUGCUGCUUCCUCUUUGUUUCACUCAUUCAGCAAGUGUCUGAGUGCCUCAUUGUUACAGGUGCAGUUUUAGGUGCUGGAGAUAAUUGCAGUGAGCCAAACAGGUAAAAAUCCUUUCCCUUGUAGCGCUUAUGUUAUAGCAAGGAUGCGUUCCACCACCUUUCACAGUCAGUUUCCUAACACCAUAUUUUGUAUAAAUACCACACUUCUUCCCUGGAGUAGUCCUUGAAUGACUCUUCUUUUUCCUCAAACACUAGAGCUAGGGGUUCUUGUUUGUUGGAUAUUUGAAUAUUGAUCCCUAUUGCUCCCCGUUCCCAACAUUUAGCUGGUGAUCGAGACAGAGAAGAUAAAGCACCCUGUGGGGAGCCUGGGGCCUCAGGAGGUCACCUGUACCUGAGAACUGGCCUUGCCUGUCAUAUCCCCUUUUUCCCAAGGACAGGUAUUCAUGGCUUACGUGGAGUUGCUUUGAGUCCCCCCAUCCCCAGUUGUUUUUGAGGGUUUGUUUCAUAGAAGUUCUUUUGUUCAGCUUAUUUUAGCUGGUCAGUUUCUUAUUUUUUUUCCACUGAAGUCUGGUCCCGGCCUUAUGGAUAUAAGAGAAGGUUAGCCAAGUGUUUUUUUUCUGCCUUCAGAUGAGGUUCAGGUCCUGGAGAUAGGUGACUUCCUUUUGAUUGAUAGGAAAGAGGAAGCAAGAUGUCAGAAGACUGCUUUCCACUAAGAACAGCGCAUUUACGGGGCUCAGCGUGAGUAUGGUCACCUUGUGUUCGUGAGAUCUCUUGAAUGAAGGUUAUCAAAUUAGAUGUUGCUGUCAGUUUUCUGACAUGAGGCUGGAAAGCAGAGUGCCCCCCCCCCCAUCUUUAUUGAGUAUUUUCUGUGUGUCUGGCACUGCGAGGCAUUUCACAUACAUUCCAUCCUCUCUGAGGCCAGAGAAGGAAGCUCUCCAGGGUCACGUGGAUGGGGAAGGGACAAGCUAGAGUUGAACUGAGGUAGGUUUCCUUCUUCUCACCAGGCACCCUGUGGGGAGUGAAUUCCUCAGCCCUCAUAAGAGGCUCCUCUCCCCUCUACCCUUUACCCCGCCCCCCUUUCCUUGUUAGCAAAGCAUAAAGCUCAGAUUUUUGCAGCCUCAACGCUGGAUCAUUAACCCACUGAGCAAGGGCAGGGACCGAACCCGCAACCUCAUGGUUCCUAGUUGGAUUCGUUAACCACUGCGCCACGAUGGGAACUCCUCAGAGCAGGUUUUACCUCUUCUGGGUAUUGCGGCCUGGCUGCCUACAGGAGGUCCCAUCACUUAGCCCGUCCAAGCCUGUCCUUUUACAGAAAAGGAAUCUGGGAGUUCCCGUUGUGGCUCAGUGGAAACUAAUCUGACUGGUAUCCAUUGAGGAUGCAGGUUCGAUCCCUGGCCUCACUCAGUGGGUUAGGAUCGGUAUUGCUAUGAGCCGGGGUAUAGGCCAGCAGUUACAGCUCUGAUUUGACCCAUAGCCUGGGAACAUCCAUAUGCCAUGGGUGUGACCCUAAAAAA
rnacentral:lncRNA from 1 species